rnacentral:rRNA from 1 species
AUUGAACGCUGGCGGCAUACUUUACACAUGCAAGUCGAACGGUAACAGGCCGCAAGGUGCUGACGAGUGGCGAACGGGUGAGUAAUGCAUCGGAACGUGCCCAGUCGUGGGGGAUAACACAGCGAAAGCUGCGCUAAUACCGCAUACGAUCUAUGGAUGAAAGCGGGGGACCGUAAGGCCUCGCGCGAUUGGAGCGGCCGAUGUCAGAUUAGGUAGUUGGUGGGGUAAAGGCUCACCAAGCCAACGAUCUGUAGCUGGUCUGAGAGGACGACCAGCCACACUGGGACUGAGACACGGCCCAGACUCCUACGGGAGGCAGCAGUGGGGAAUUUUGGACAAUGGGCGCAAGCCUGAUCCAGCAAUGCCGCGUGCAGGAAGAAGGCCUUCGGGUUGUAAACUACUUUUGUACGGAACGAAACGGUCCUGGUUAAUACCCGGGGCUAAUGACGGUACCGUAAGAAUAAGCACCGGCUAACUACGUGCCAGCCGCCGCAGUAACAC